rnacentral:rRNA from 1 species
UACGGAGGGUGCAAGCGUUAAUCGGAAUUACUGGGCGUAAAGCGUGCGCAGGCGGUUUGUUAAGUCCGUUGUGAAAGCCCCGAGCUCAACUUGGGAAUUGCAGUGGAUACUGGCAGGCUGGAGUACGGUAGAGGAAGGUGGAAUUCCCAGUGUAGAGGUGAAAUUCGUAGAUAUUGGGAAGAACACCGGUGGCGAAGGCGGCUCACUGGCUCAUUACUGACGCCUCAUGCGCG